UUCAGUCGAUUUCUUCGGAAUGAAACGGAAAAAGGAAAGUAGCGAACGGGUGAGUAACACGUGAGAAACCUGCCUUUCACAAAGGGAUAGCCUCGGGAAACCGGGAUUAAUACCUUAUGAUACAUUAAUAUCGCAUGAUGUAAAUGUUAAAGAAUUUCGGUGAAAGAUGGUCUCGCGUCUGAUUAGCUAGUUGGUAAGGUAGUGGCUUACCAAGGCGACGAUCAGUAGCCGGAUUGAGAGGUUGAACGGCCACACUGGAACUGAGACACGGUCCAGACUCCUACGGGAGGCAGCAGUGGGGAAUUUUGCACAAUGGGGGAAACCCUGAUGCAGCGACGCCGCGUGAACGAUGAAGGUCUUCGGAUUGUAAAGUUCUGUCCUUAGCGAAGAUAAUGACAGUAGCUAAGAAGCAAGCCCUGGCUAAAUACGUGCCAGCAGCCGCGGUAAUACGUAUGGGGCAAGCGUUGUCCGGAAUUAUUGGGCGUAAAGGGUAUGUAGGUGGUUAAUUAAGUCUGAAUUCAAAGGCUGUGGCUCAACCACAGUUCGGUUUAGAAACUGGUUAACUUGAGUAGAUGAGGGGAAAGUGGAAUUCCAUGUGUAGCGGUGAAAUGCGUAGAUAUAUGGAGGAACACCAGUGGCGAAGGCGACUUUCUGGAAUCUAACUGACGCUGAGAUACGAAGGCGUGGGGAGCAAACAGGAUUAGAUACCUGGUAGUCCACGCAGUAAACGAUGAGUGCUAGUUGUCGGGAGUCAAACCUCGGUGACGCAGCUUAACGCAUUGAAGCACUCCGCCUGGGGAGUACG
rnacentral:rRNA from 1 species